ACACUAAUUAACUCUACAAUGUUACGUUCGCGGGCGAGAACGAAUAAAAAUGUAUGUCUGCAUCUUUAUCAUCUUUACGUUCGUUGCCUUCCUUGAACAGACACAGCGAAACGCGCUGGCCAAGGAGGCUUUCUCGUAUUUGGAAUAUCCUUCUUCUAAGUCUUAUGAACUUUGCGACGACAAUAAAUCCAACAAUAUCAAUUUACUCUUCUUGAACAACAACAACAAAUUACUAUUUCUAAACUUUUCUCUGAUCCUUUU